rnacentral:rRNA from 1 species
ACGUAUGGAGCAAGCGUUAUCCGGAUUUACUGGGUGUAAAGGGAGUGUAGGUGGCUAGGCAAGUCAGAAGUGAAAGCCCGGGGCUCAACCCCGGGACUGCUUUUGAAACUGCAGGGCUAGAGUGCAGGAGGGGCAAGUGGAAUUCCUAGUGUAGCGGUGAAAUGCGUAGAUAUUAGGAGGAACACCAGUGGCGAAGGCGGCUUGCUGGACUGUAACUGACACUGAGGCUCGAAAGCGUGGGGAGCAAACAG